rfam:Gorilla gorilla gorilla genomic chromosome, chr14, whole genome shotgun sequence
GCCAGGUGUGGUGGUGGGCGCCUGUAAUCCCAGCUACUUGGGAGGCUGAGGCAGGAGAAUCGCUUGAACCCAGGAGGUGGAGACUGCAGUGAGCCAAGACUGUGCCACUGCACUCCAGCCUGGGUGACAGAGCGAGACUCUGUCUCAA